rnacentral:piRNA from 1 species
GAUGCUGUAUGGGGAUCAAUGCUGAAGAC